AUUGCUACCCCCUCAAAAUUCAUAUGUGGAAGCCCUAACCCCCAAUACUUCAGUAUGUGAAUGUAUUUGGAGAUAAGGCCUUUAAAGAGGCAGUUAAGUUAGAAUGAGUCAUCACAGUGGGCCCUAAUCCAAUGACUGGUGUCCUUAUAAGAAGAGGAGAUUAGGACAGACACCAAGGAUGCGUGAGCACAAAGAAAAGACCCUCAGAGGACACAGUGAGAAAAUGGUUAUCUGCAAGCCAAGGAGAGACCAAACCUGCCGGCACCUUAAUCUUGGACUCUCAGCCUCCAGAACUAAGAUCCAACCAAGAUUCUACCAAGAAGAUCGUGGGGGAUCCAACGAGAUGAACCCUGAUGAUCUUUGUGUGGUCUCCAAAUUGUGCGGCCACAUUUGGAGGAAGCGAGAUGACUACACAGUGAAGCACAGUGAAGGGGAGGCCUGAGGAGCCACGAAGACCGGUAGCACAUUCUGGAUUUUGUCAAGUCUUAGCCGGGUGCCCUGAGCAAGUCCCCUCGGCUGUCUUGAGCCUCAGUCUCCUUCUCUGUAAAACAGGAAUAAUAAUAACCACGUGAAUGGCACAGAGAUUUUUAAGAUGCAGUUAUUACUAUUUUUUAAACGUCAAUUGAUGCCAGGAAUAUUCUGCCAGCCCUCCAAGGGUGGUUUCAGCAGGCUUACUUCCUGGUCAUAAUCACUUCCUCCAUCCCCGGCUUCUG
rnacentral:lncRNA from 10 species